rnacentral:rRNA from 1 species
AACUGAAACAUCUAAGUACCCCGAGGAAAAGAAAUCAACCGAGAUUCCCCCAGUAGCGGCGAGCGAACGGGGAGCAGCCCAGAGUCUGAAUCAGCUUGUGUGUUAGUGGAACGGUCUGGAAAGUCCGACGGUACAGGGUGAUAGUCCCGUACACCAAAAUGCACAGGCUGUGAACUCGAAGAGUAGGGCGGGACACGUGGUAUCCUGUCUGAAUAUGGGGGGACCAUCCUCCAAGGCUAAAUACUCCUGACUGACCGAUAGUGAACCAGUACCGUGAGGGAAAGGCGAAAAGAACCCCGGCGAGGGGAGUGAAAAAGAACCUGAAACCGUGUACGUACAAGCAGUGGGAGCACCUUCGGGUGUGACUGCGUACCUUUUGUAUAAUGGGUCAGCGACUUAUAUUCUGUAGCAAGGUUAACCGUAUAGGGGAGCCGCAGGGAAACCGAGUCUUAACUGGGCGUUAAGUUGCAGGGUAUAGACCCGAAACCCGGUGAUCUAGCCAUGGGCAGGUUGAAGGUUGGGUAACACUAACUGGAGGACCGAACCGACUAAUGUUGAAAAAUUAGCGGAUGACUUGUGGCUGGGGGUGAAAGGCCAAUCAAACCGGGAGAUAGCUGGUUCUCCCCGAAAGCUAUUUAGGUAGCGCCUCGUGAACUCAUCUUCGGGGGUAGAGCACUGUUUCGGCUAGGGGGUCAUCCCGACUUACCAACCCGAUGCAAACUACGAAUACCGAAGAAUGUUAUCACGGGAGACACACGGCGGGUGCUAACGUCCGUCGUGAAGAGGGAAACAACCCAGACCGCCAGCUAAGGUCCCAAAGUCAUGGUUAAGUGGGAAACGAUGUGGGAAGGCACAGACAGCCAGGAUGUUGGCUUAGAAGCAGCCAUCAUUUAAAGAAAGCGUAAUAGCUCACUGGUCGAGUCGGCCUGCGCGGAAGAUGUAACGGGGCUAAACCAUGCACCGAAGCUGCGGCAGCGACACUAUGUGUUGUUGGGUAGGGGAGCGUUCUGUAAGCCUGCGAAGGUGUGCUGUGAGGCAUGCUGGAGGUAUCAGAAGUGCGAAUGCUGACAUAAGUAACGAUAAAGCGGGUGAAAAGCCCGCUCGCCGGAAGACCAAGGGUUCCUGUCCAACGUUAAUCGGGGCAGGGUGAGUCGACCCCUAAGGCGAGGCCGAAAGGCGUAGUCGAUGGGAAACAGGUUAAUAUUCCUGUACUUGGUGUUACUGCGAAGGGGGGACGGAGAAGGCUAUGUUAGCCGGGCGACGGUUGUCCCGGUUUAAGCAUGUAGGCUGAUUAUCCAGGCAAAUCCGGAUAAUCAAGGCUGAGGUGUGAUGACGAGGCACUACGGUGCUGAAGUAACAAAUGCCCUGCUUCCAGGAAAAGCCUCUAAGCAUCAGGUAACAUUAAAUCGUACCCCAAACCGACACAGGUGGUCAGGUAGAGAAUACCAAGGCGCUUGAGAGAACUCGGGUGAAGGAACUAGGCAAAAUGGUGCCGUAACUUCGGGAGAAGGCACGCUGGUGUGUAGGUGAAGUCCCUGCGGAUGGAGCUGAGACCAGUCGAAGAUACCAGCUGGCUGCAACUGUUUAUUAAAAACACAGCACUGUGCAAACACGAAAGUGGACGUAUACGGUGUGACGCCUGCCCGGUGCCGGAAGGUUAAUUGAUGGGGUUAUCCGUAAGGAGAAGCUCUUGAUCGAAGCCCCGGUAAACGGCGGCCGUAACUAUAACGGUCCUAAGGUAGCGAAAUUCCUUGUCGGGUAAGUUCCGACCUGCACGAAUGGCGUAAUGAUGGCCAGGCUGUCUCCACCCGAGACUCAGUGAAAUUGAACUCGCUGUGAAGAUGCAGUGUACCCGCGGCAAGACGGAAAGACCCCGUGAACCUUUACUAUAGCUUGACACUGAACAUUGAGCCUUGAUGUGUAGGAUAGGUGGGAGGCUUUGAAGCGUGGACGCCAGUCUGCGUGGAGCCAACCUUGAAAUACCACCCUUUAAUGUUUGAUGUUCUAACGUUGGCCCCUGACCGGGGUUGCGGACAGUGUCUGGUGGGUAGUUUGACUGGGGCGGUCUCCUCCCAAAGCGUAACGGAGGAGCACGAAGGUUAGCUAAUCCUGGUCGGACAUCAGGAGGUUAGUGCAAUGGCAUAAGCUAGCUUGACUGCGAGCGUGACGGCGCGAGCAGGUGCGAAAGCAGGUCAUAGUGAUCCGGUGGUUCUGAAUGGAAGGGCCAUCGCUCAACGGAUAAAAGGUACUCCGGGGAUAACAGGCUGAUACCGCCCAAGAGUUCAUAUCGACGGCGGUGUUUGGCACCUCGAUGUCGGCUCAUCACAUCCUGGGGCUGAAGUAGGUCCCAAGGGUAUGGCUGUUCGCCAUUUAAAGUGGUACGCGAGCUGGGUUUAGAACGUCGUGAGACAGUUCGGUCCCUAUCUGCCGUGGGCGCUGGAGAAUUGAGGGGGGCUGCUCCUAGUACGAGAGGACCGGAGUGGACGCAUCACUGGUGUUCGGGUUGUCAUGCCAAUGGCACUGCCCGGUAGCUAAAUGCGGAAGAGAUAAGUGCUGAAAGCAUCUAAGCACGAAACUUGCCCCGAGAUGAGUUCUCCCUGAGACUUUAAGUCUCCUGAAGGAACGUUGAAGACGACGACGUUGAUAGGCCGGGUGUGUAAGCGCAGCGAUGCGUUGAGCUAACCGGUACUAAUGAACCGUGAGGCUUAACCUU